UACGUAGGGUGCGAGCGUUAUUCGGAAUUACUGGGCGUAAAGCGUGCGCAGGCGGUUUUGUAAGCCCGAUGUGAAAGCCCCGGGCUUAACCUGGGAAUGGCAUUUGGGACUGCAAGGCUUGAGUGCGGCAGAGGAGACUGGAAUUCCUGGUGUAGCAGUGAAAUGCGUAGAUAUCAGGAGGAAUACCGAUGGCGAAGGCAGGUCUCUGGGCUGACACUGACGCUCAUGCACGAAAGCGUGGGGAGCAAACAGG
rnacentral:rRNA from 1 species